GUGCCAGCCGCCGCGGUAAGACGUAGGAGGCGAGCGUUAUCCGGAUUCACUGGGCGUAAAGCGCAUGUAGGCGGUUUGAUCCGUCCGAUGUUAAAGCCCCCGGCUCAACUGGGGGAGGUCAUUGGAGACUAUCAGACUUGAGGGCAACAGAGGCACGUGGAACUCCCGGUGUAGCGGUGGAAUGCGUAGAGAUCGGGAAGAACACCCGUGGCGAAGGCGACGUGCUGGGUUGCGACUGACGCUGAGAUGCGAAAGUGUGGGGAGCAAACGGGAUUAGAAACCCCCGUAGUCC
rnacentral:rRNA from 1 species